rnacentral:rRNA from 1 species
GAUGAACGCUAGCUACAGGCUUAACACAUGCAAGUCGAGGGGAAACGACAUCGAAAGCUUGCUUUUGAUGGGCGUCGACCGGCGCACGGGUGAGUAACGCGUAUCCAACCUGCCCACCACUUGGGGAUAACCUUGCGAAAGUAAGACUAAUACCCAAUGAUAUCUCUAGAAGACAUCUGAAAGGGAUUAAAGAUUUAUCGGUGAUGGAUGGGGAUGCGUCUGAUUAGCUUGUUGGCGGGGUAACGGCGCACCAAGGCGACCAUCAGUAGGGGUGCUGAGAGGAAGGUCCACCACAUUGGAACUGAGGAACGGUCCAAACUCCUACGGGAGGCAGCAGUGAGGAAUAUUGGUCAAUGGGCGAGAGCCUGAACCAGCCAAGUAGCGUGCAGGAUGACGGCCCUAUGGGUUGUAAACUGCUUUUAUAAGGGAAUAAAGUGGGAGUCGUGACUCCUUUUGCAUGUACCUUAUGAAUAAGGACCGGCUAAUUCCGUGCCAGCCGCCGCGGUAA